rnacentral:rRNA from 1 species
GUGUCAGCAGCCGCGGUAAUACGGAGGGUGCAAGCGUUAUCCGGAUUCACUGGGUUUAAAGGGUGCGUAGGUGGGCAGGUAAGUCAGCGGUGAAAUCCCCGAGCUUAACUUGGGAACUGCCAUUGAUACUAUCUGUCUUGAAUACCUUGGAGGUGAGCGGAAUAUGUCAUGUAGCGGUGAAAUGCUUAGAUAUGACAUAGAACACCAAUUGCGAAGGCAGCUCACUACACGGUCAUUGACACUGAGGCACGAAAGCGUGGGGAUCAAACAGGAUUAGAAACCCUUGUAGUCC